GGAAACUUACUUUGAGCAUAUUUAGCUUGUUCAAAGCUCCAAGUGACAGUGGGCGGGCGAGCGAGCGAGUCGGAAAAAUGUUUCUACGAAGAGUAGCGAGGCCAUUGAUGAUGUCAGCGAAAUUGAAACAGCCAACGGGGAUCGUAGGUCUUCACGUAGUUCCAAAUGCCAGAGAAGUUCUCAUUGAUCUUUAUACGAAAACCCUAGAGGAGAUCAAGGCUGUGCCAGAGGAUGCAGAAUAUUGCAAAGAUGUGGAAAGAUUCACGCGACGCGGUUUAAGUGUAUGUCAGGAGGAAGAAGAUUUUGAAAUGAUUGAGAAGCGGCUUGGUUGUGGUCAGGCUCAGCAUGAGCUUAAUCUCGUUGGCAAAAUGAACGGUAAAAUUUAUGGGGAUUAUAUGCAAUCGAAAUGCAAUCUUCAGAGAAAUGUAUGUCAGUGUCAGAAAUACUCUAUGAUGCUCAGGGCAUCAUAUUCUACGGAAGCAGGGACAGUUGAAAGUAGUGUGACAGAGUCUGUGAAGGAAUUGUAUGACAAGAUGCUCAAGUCUGUCCUGGAUCAAAGAAGUGCUCCGCCUAAUGCCUGGUUGUGGUCCCUAAUACAGAGUUGUGCAAACCGCGAAGAUGCUAAUCUUUUAUUCGACAUAUUGAAGAGACUUCGGAUAUUUAGACUUUCAAAUCUCCGUAUCCAUGAAAAUUUCAACUGUGCCCUCUGCCAGGAAAUUACCAAGGCAUGUGUACGUGUUGGCGCCAUUGAUUUGGGUAAGAAAGUGUUGUGGAAGCAUAAUGUUUAUGGACUGACUCCUAAUAUUGGAUCUGCGCACCAUUUACUGUUAUUUUCUAAACAGCAUAAUGAUGUUAAACUCUUGGUAGAAAUUAUGAAUCUGGUGAAGAAAAAUGACUUGAUCCUGCAGCCUGGAACUGCAGAUAUAGUCUUCAGCAUUUGCUCCCAAACUGAUAACUGGGACUUGAUAUGUAAGUAUGGUAAAAGGUUUGUCAAGGCAGGAGUGAAGCUACGAAAGACUUCCUUGGACACUUGGAUGGUAUUUGCCUCGAAAAUGGGAGAUGUGGAUUGUUUGUGGAAAAUUGAGAAGAUACGAUCAGAAACCAUGAAGGAACAUAGUCUUGGGAGUGGACUUUCAUGUGCUAAGGCUUUCCUAAUUGACCACAAACCUGAAGAUGCUGCUGCUGUCAUUCAAUUACUCAAUCAGACAGUACCUGAUUCAAGAAGGCAAAAAUUCAUGGUUGAACUUCAAAAGCUAGUUGAGGAGUGGCCUUUGGAGGUGAUAAAGCGACAAAAGGAUGAGAGGAGGAAGGAGUUGGCUGCAACGCUACAUGAUGAUCUUCCUACCAUGCUCAGUGCCUUGUCAAAUAUGGGCUUGAGGUUGAACGUAAAUGUGGAAGAUCUAACAAGAGAAGGUGUUUUUGCUUGAAUUUUAGUGAAUAAACAUCAAACAUCAUGUUGCCCCUUUACAACAUAUUUUUGCAUUACGGAGAAGCAGCCAUCUCAGUUUGCUAUGUUGCAGUUUUACUGUCAUGACACAAUUUUGUGGCUUGAAGGAGGUAUUUUCAAUGAAAUAACCAGAGACAUGAGGCGCCUUGAUCUCCAAGUUCGACGGGUUAGUGUGAGCUCUUUGGAUUGGAAUUCGUAUUUGGAAAGAUCAUUGGCUUUUGUACUUUGGUGCUUCUUUGAGAUCCUUCCGAGGACUUAUGCCUGUGCUAGUGAAGUUUUAAUCUAGUAGGCAGUAACAAUAUAAUGUUUUCGAAGGCGUUAAUUUUAAUUUUUAUUAUUUUAAAAGUAUUUUCGCUAUAAAUUUAAUUAUUUUUUUUUGUUAUUGGUGUGAUGAUAUUUAUACUUUAUACCAUCAUAUUUUCAUAUUGUAAAUAAUUAUAAUAUCUUUUCUAUAUUAUUAGUGAUUUAUUUGCAGAAUUA